UACGUAGGUGGCAAGCGUUGUCCGGAUUUACUGGGCGUAAAGAGCGCGCAGGCGGUCGAUUUAGUCGUGUGUGAAAGCCCCCGGCUCAACUGGGGAGGGUCACGCGAUACUGAUCGACUCGAAGGCAGGAGAGGGUAGUGGAAUUCCCGGUGUAGUGGUGAAAUGCGUAGAUAUCUGGAGGAAUACCGGUGGCGAAAGCGACUCUCUGGACGGUAACUGACGCUGAGGCACGAAAGCGUGGGGAGCAACAGG
rnacentral:rRNA from 1 species